CCUGGCUUUUCUGACAGGUUCUGUGUAGUCUUCACAAUGGCCCAGGUCAGAGAGGAAGUAAAAAAAAUUGAAAAAAAUUAACAACGAUCAGAGAAGACGUCACCUGCACAGAUUCAGUCUUCCGGAUGGAUUUAACUGUUCCUUGGAGUUAACGUAGAUGACAGGUAAAACUGGGGAAUCAGCGCCCGGGGCACGCAAUUGUCUGCUUGAGAUAACACAGGCAAAGAAGAGAAAGAAGAUUGGAAAGUGGCUGCUAAGGACAUUGCGGCAAAAAGUCAUUGGUUCUCAUGUUAUGUGCUGUGAAGCGGAAGGGUACUAGGGCCGCCAUUAGGCACAAAUCCUUCUAAGGACCUGCUGCUAAUGUUUUGGUAUCAGAUAUGACAGAUCCACACCGAUCACUAGAGAAAGCCACUAAGAAUGGUCUGCUGAGUACUUCUCCCUCGGGUUUGUUGCUCUACCCAUCUCAAUGCAGGAGAUGAGCUCCAUAGCCACAUGCUUCUCACAAGUGAGAAGUGAGCCCUAAAGCUGUCCCUAAAACUACUUUCCCUGCCUACAUGCCCAUCCACCCUAAAUGAGGGAUCGACAACUUGGAGCCGGUCCCUUCCUAGCGCUAUAGUGCAUGCACGUCGAAGUCAACAAAACAAACAGAACUGUACAUGUCGGGGACAAGUCAGAAACAUACUACUGAAGAAGGGGUACUGAAUGCUUGUUUUUUAUAGACCCUGAAACGCGUUUGGUUGUCAUCUUUUACUUGAACUCCAUUUACAUUGGGAAAUAUUGCCAUUGAUGCCAUUUGCAUUUUCUGAAGGAGUCGGAGGAGAGCCAAAGGACCGCACAGCCAAUAGAGUGAAUGAUGAAAAAUUGAAGCCUGCAUAAAGAAGAAAUUUUUUGGUCCAAGAACUAUAAGAAAAAUCAUCUUUAAACCCAUCCGAUCAGCUGAUCUGCAGUCAGAUGACCGUCCACGUCACACACCACCGGGAGCUCGCUGGAGAGACCGGCCACAACAUAAUGCAAUCCCAUCACCGCCUCCAGCUAGAGCAGAGCAACACUGGCAACCGGACUA